rnacentral:rRNA from 1 species
CCCUUAGAUGUUCUGGGCUGCACGCGCGCUACACUGGUGCACUCAACAAGUUUACAACCUUGAUCGAUAGGUCUGGGUAAUCUUUUGAAUAUGCACCGUGCUAGGGAUAGAUUAUUGCAAUUAUUAAUCUUGAACGAGGAAUUCCUAGUAAAUGCAAGUCAUCAGCUUGCGUUGAUUACGUCCCUGCCCUUUGUACACACCGCCCGUCGCACCUACCGAUUGAAUGGUCCGGUGAAAUCUCGGGACGGCGGCUUGGUCGCUUGCGUCCGACUGCUGAAACUUGAUUAAACCAUAUCAUUUAGAGGAAGGUGAANUCGUAACA